CAGAAUGAAGAACUCACCUUUAACACGGUGUGUUCUGAAGACAACCUCACCAGACUCAGGAAGGCGAACUCAGAGCUGAGGGCUGAAAUCAAGAAAACCCUCGUCGCAUUGAUGCUGAGAGACAGAGACGUCGCAAAGGUUGGUCGAUCGAUCGUGGUGCAGGGAAACGCUGUUGUCGUGCUGCUUCGUGUAACUGGACUUGUUGAUCUACAGAAGGACGUUCUUCUGGAUAAGAUGAGAAGCGCUCAUGUGGGGAAUCAUAACAUGAUCGAGGGUCUGCAGUCAGAGCUGCAGAGGCUACAGGAACAUUCGCACCAAAUUCUUUUGAGG
rnacentral:lncRNA from 1 species